UAUUCUAUAAAUCAUUAUUUGGCAGAUGACCAACAACAACUAACAUCAGACAAGGCAUUAUAUAUUUUAAAUAUGUUAGGAAAAUACAUGUUAUGCGAUAUGUAAAGAUUGAAAUAAACUAAAAGAAAUAAUAUAAAAAAAACUAAUGGUUGCUCAUUGAAACACAUGUCAUGUAAGCUUUAUCUGCGAAAGAUUUAACUGCACACUGCAGGGAAGAUGAUACAACUGUUUGUGAGACGAAUCUUUAAUGCACCAUGUUAAAUCCAAAUAUAAUAAUUUUAAUCCAGCAAGCAAGUUUCAACCGUAUAUCUACACAAUAGAGGUAUCCACGCUUACAACUUUCACAGACUACCCCUGGUAAUCUUUCAUUUACUAAAUCUUAUGUUUUCACCGAAGUCCCAUCCGAUGGUCAGAUCAAAUAUCACGUCAACUGAACAUUACUGUCAGCGCCGCAAUACAUCAGACAUCUGAGCGCAGCAGAUGGCGACGGCUAGUCGACAAGAUAGUAUAGAGUCACGAUCCUCAGCAGUGAGGGAACGAUUAAGAAGAUGCUUUCACCACCACGGCUCUAUUUAUGUAUUUACAGUUCCGAAUCGUUCUAUUUAUUUUUAAUUCGAAAUACCUGAAGCAUAUGUACAGUUCGCAACCAAAUCAUUAUCUUUUCAGCAUUCCAGUGAGUUCGAAUUCUUGUUGAAUACAAAUUGUUUCUUUGUCGGCCAAGUUUCGUGAGAGACAAUUCAAAUAAUCUGCCUAUGUGUUUUCGCUUACAACGUAAAUUUU